UACGUAGGGUGCAAGCGUUAAUCGGAAUUACUGGGCGUAAAGCGUGCGCAGGCGGUUUUGUAAGACAGAGGUGAAAUCCCCGGGCUCAACCUGGGAACUGCCUUUGUGACUGCAAGGCUUGAGUGCGGCAGAGGGGGAUGGAAUUCCGCGUGUAGCAGUGAAAUGCGUAGAUAUCCGGAGGAACACCGGUGGCGAAGGCGGCUUCCUGGACCGAUUACUGACGCUGAGGCGCGAAAGCUAGGGGAGCAAACGGG
rnacentral:rRNA from 1 species